UACGUAGGGGGCUAGCGUUGUCCGGAAUCAUUGGGCGUAAAGCGCGUGUAGGCGGUCCGGUAAGUCCGCUGUGAAAGUCGGGGGGCUCAACCCUCGAAUGCCGGUGGAUACUGUCGGGCUAGAGUACGGAAGAGGCGAGUGGAAUUCCUGGUGUAGCGGUGAAAUGCGCAGAUAUCAGGAAGAACACCAAUGGCGAAGGCAGCUCUCUGGGACGGUACUGACGCUGAGACGCGAAAGCGUGGGGAGCAAACGGG
rnacentral:rRNA from 1 species